AAAUGACUCUCGGCAACGGAUAUCUCAGGUCUCGUAUCGAUGAAGAACAUAGCAAAAUACGAUACUUGGUGUGAAUUGCAGAAUCCCAUGAACUAUCGAGUCUUUGAACGCAAGUUGUGCCCCAAGCCAUUAGGCCGAGGGCAUGUCUGCCUGUGUGUCAUGC
rnacentral:rRNA from 1 species